UACGAAGGGGGCUAGCGUUGCUCGGAAUCACUGGGCGUAAAGCGCACGUAGGCGGACUCUUAAGUCGGUGGUGAAAUCCUGGAGCUCAACUCCAGAACUGCCUUCGAUACUGAGAGUCUUGAGUCCGGAAGAGGUGAGUGGAACUGCGAGUGUAGAGGUGAAAUUCGUAGAUAUUCGCAAGAACACCAGUGGCGAAGGCGGCUCACUGGCCCGGUACUGACGCUGAGGUGCGAAAGCGUGGGGAGCAAACAGG
rnacentral:rRNA from 1 species